GCUAGUAUGGUAUAGUGGUUAGCAUGUGCACUUUGGCCAUGUUAUGUGACAUGACUAAAAUCUUUUUAAGGUCCUGGGUUCAAUUCCUGGAGCUGCCG